rnacentral:rRNA from 1 species
AUUGAACGCUGGCGGCAGGCUUAACACAUGCAAGUCGAGCGGGGGAGGUUGCUUCGGUAACUGACCUAGCGGCGGACGGGUGAGUAAUGCUUAGGAAUCUGCCUAUUAGUGGGGGACAACAUUCCGAAAGGGAUGCUAAUACCGCAUACGCCCUACGGGGGAAAGCAGGGGAUCUUCGGACCUUGCGCUAAUAGAUGAGCCUAAGUCGGAUUAGCUAGUUGGUGGGGUAAAGGCCUACCAAGGCGACGAUCUGUAGCGGGUCUGAGAGGAUGAACCGCCACACUGGGACUGAGACACGGCCCAGACUCCUACGGGAGGCAGGAGUGGGGAAUAUUGGACAAGGGGCGGAAGCCUGAUCCAGCCAUGCCGCGUGUGUGAAGAAGGCCUUUUGGUUGUAAAGCACUUUAAGCGAGGAGGAGGCUCUUAAGGUUAAUACCCUUGAUGAGUGGACGUUACUCGCAGAAUAAGCACCGGCUAACUCUGUGCCAGCCGCCGCCGUAACAC